rnacentral:tRNA from 1 species
GCCUGGGUGGCUCAGGCGGUUGAGCAUCUGACUCUUGAUUAUGGCUCAGGUCAUGAUCUCAUGGUUUGUGGGUUCGAGCCCCACAUCGGGCU